rnacentral:rRNA from 1 species
AAACUCAAAUGAAUUGACGGGGACCCGCACAAGCGGUGGAUGAUGUGGUUUAAUUCGAUGCAACGCGAAAAACCUUACCCACCUUUGACAUGUACGGAAUCCUUUAGAGAUAGAGGAGUGCUCGAAAGAGAACCGUAACACAGGUGCUGCAUGGCUGUCGUCAGCUCGUGUCGUGAGAUGUUGGGUUAAGUCCCGCAACGAGCGCAACCCUUGUCAUUAGUUGCUACAUUUAGUUGGGCACUCUAAUGAGACUGCCGGUGACAAACCGGAGGAAGGUGGGGAUGACGUCAAGUCCUCAUGGCCCUUAUAGGUGGGGCUACACACGUCAUACAAUGGAUGGUACAAAGGGUCGCCAACCCGCAGGGGGAGCCAAUCCCAUAAAGCCAUUCGUAGUCCGGAUCGCAGUCUGCAACUCGACUGCGUGAAGUCGGAAUCGCUAGUAAUCGUGGAUCAGAAUGUCACGGUGAAUACGUUCCCGGGUCUUGUACACACCGCCCGUCACACCAUGGGAGCGGGUUCUGCCAGAAGUAGUUAGCCUAACCGCAAGGAGGGCGAUUACCACGGCAGGGUUCGUGACUGGGGUGAAGUCGUAACAAGGUAGCCGUAUCGGAAGGUGCGGCUGGAUCACCUCCUUUCUG